UACGGAGGAUGCAAGCGUUAUCCGGAAUGAUUGGGCGUAAAGCGUCCGCAGGUGGCAAUGUAAGUCUGCUGUCAAAGCGUCUGGCUCAACCAGAUAAAGGCAGUGGAAACUACAUAGCUAGAGUAAGGUAGGGGUAGAGGGAAUUCCUGGUGUAGCGGUGAAAUGCGUAGAGAUCCGGAGGAACACCAGUGGCGCAGGCGGCUCUCUGGGUCGGCCCUGACGCUGAGGCACGAAGGCCAGGGGAGCAAACGGG
rnacentral:rRNA from 1 species